rnacentral:rRNA from 1 species
GAUGAACGCUAGCGGCAGGCCUAACACAUGCAAGUCGAGGGGUAGAAGCUUUCGGGCUUUGAGACCGGCGCACGGGUGCGUAACGCGUAUGCAAUCUACCUUAUACAGAGGGAUAGCCCAGAGAAAUUUGGAUUAAUACCUUAUAGUAUGUUUGAAUGGCAUCAUUUAAACAUUAAAGUUCCAACGGUAUAAGAUGAGCAUGCGUCCCAUUAGCUAGUUGGUAAGGUAACGGCUUACCAAGACAAUGAUGGGUAGGGGUCCUGAGAGGGAGAUCCCCCACACUGGUACUGAGACACGGACCAGACUCCUACGGGAGGCAGCAGUGAGGAAUAUUGGUCAAUGGACGCAAGUCUGAACCAGCCAUGCCGCGUGCAGGAUGACGGUCCUAUGGAUUGUAAACUGCUUUUAUACAGGAAGAAACACUCGGACGUGUCCGAGCUUGACGGUACUGUAGGAAUAAGGAUCGGCUAACUCCGUGCCAGCAGCCGCCGUAACAC